GCUUUUUCUCCGGCCGAAGAGCAGUGAUCCGAAGCAGUUCCGGUACUGUGGAGGUACCGGUAACUAGAGGCUGCCCGCAGGGAUCAAUCAGCGGCCCAUUUAUCUGGGACAUACUGAUGGAUGUACUGCUUCAGCGUCUCCAGCCGUAUUGCCAGCUGAGUGCAUACGCGGAUGACUUGCUGCUUCUCGUCGAGGGAAAUUCCGAGCUGUGCUAGAGGAAAAAGGAGCGCAACUAAUGUCCAUCGUAGAAACGUGGGGAGCGGAAGUUGGCGUUGCCGUCUCGACCAGCAAGACGGUAAUCAUGCUGCUGAAAGGUGCCUUGAGACGUGCGCCUACGGUGAGGUUUGCUGGAGCGAACCUUCCGUAUGUGCGUAGCUGUCGGUACCUUGGCAUCACGGUCAGUGAAGGAAUGAAAUUCCUCACGCACAUAGCUUCGCUUCGCCAGCGGAUGACAGGAGUCGUUGGAGCAUUGGCGCGUGUGCUUCGAGCCGACUGGGGCUUCAGUCCUCGAGCCAGGCGGACCAUAUAUGACGGACUCAUGGCACCUUGUGUGCUGUUUGGUGCCCCGGUAUGGUAUGACACCGCGGAACAAGUAGCUGCCCAGAGGCGACUAGCCUCCUGCCAGAGGCUAAUCCUGCUUGGAUGCCUUUCGGUAUGCCGAACAGUGUCCACAGUGGCACUGCAGGUACUUGGUGGAGCUCCCCCGCUUGAUCUUGCUGCUAAGUUAUUAGCGAUUAAAUACAAGCUAAAACGUGGAUUCCCGCUGGAGGAGAACGACUGGCUUUACGGCGAGGACAUUGCGUGUCUUAGCUGGGAGCAGAGGAAGACUCGCCUAGAGGAGUGUUUAAUCCAGAGUUGGCAGAACAGGUGGGACGAUGACAGCGAACCAGGACGGGUGACGCAUAGGUUUAUCCCAUACGUCACUCUUGCCUAUCGGGAUCCAAGUUUUCGAUUCUCGAUGAGGACGUCUUUCCUGCUUACAGGGCACGGGUCGUUCAAUGCAUUUUUGCACGGAAGAGCCCUCAGCGAUACCACUGCUUGCGCAUGUGGAGAUCCAUAUGAGGACUGGAUGCAUAUCUUGUGCGCUUGCCCCCUAUAUGCAGAUCUGCGGGACCUAGAUGGACUUGGAGUGCAGCGCCUUGGCGAAAACUGGAUCUUCGAGGGAAUCCUGGAUGAUCAAGAGAAGACUCAACGGCUGGCAAUGUUUGCGGAAGAAGUGUUCCUGAGGAGGAGGGGCGUUUAGCUCAGCAUCUCUGCCGUGUGGUUAGCGGGCGAGAAUACUACCACAGUCCGCUGUUGCUUGUCGUAAGAGACGACUAAUACAGCGAUAGGAUUCCUCUAACCCUGCUUGUCGGAGCAAAAGGGGGAGGCCCACCGAGCCUCUUUUCGGUACCACGGGUUGAGCAGCUAUCCAAGACUGCUCAUUGAGGUAGGCCCCCUGGUGGGAGUAUCGUGGUGGCUGUGGUUGGUACCCAUAUCGCGGGUAGAGCCUUCAUGCUCGACGUUUGAGUUACGGUGCUGGUUGCGCAAAACUCGGGUGCUGAGACCCAGAGAUCAGUAGAGAUUUUAGGUAGAUCUCGCUCCUCAGCAAGGGGGAGUGCUUGCCCGGCAAGCAAGUACUCGAAUUGCUACCGGGGUGGUCGCUAUGUACAUAGCUAUAGCUUCUAGUCCGGGACGCUUGUCUGGCGUAUCCAGACACAUGCACCAUAUGCUCACUUGUGGGUGUAUAGGGUGCCGUGGUUGUAAUCCCUUCAGUGUGGAACACGCCACGUAAAAUAAGUUCGGAGGGAUCCGAAAAGCAUACAUUGUCCCUAUCUACUAUCUAGCGAAACCACAGCCAAGGGAACGGGCUUGGAAUAAUUAGCGGGGAAAGAAGACCCUUUUGAGCUUGACUCUAAUCUGGCAGUGUAAGGAGACAUAAGAGGUGUAGAAUAAGUGGGAGAUAUUAGACCUCGGUUUGGUAUCGUCAAUGAAAUACCACUACUCUUAUUGUUUCCUUACUUACUUGAUUAAAUGGAACGUGUAUCAUUUCCUAGCCAUUAUACGGAUAUAUUUAUUAUAUCUUAUGGUAUUGGGUUUUGAUGCAAGCUUCUUGAUCAAAGUAUCACGAGUUUGUUAUAUAAUCGCAAACAAAUUCUUUAAUAAAACGAUGCAUUUAUGUAUUUUUGAUUUGAAAAUUUGGUAUAACUCCAAUUACUCAGGUAUGAUCCAAUUCAAGGACAUUGCCAGGUAGGGAGUUUGACUGGGGCGGUACAUCUCUCAAAUAAUAACGGAGGUGUCCCAAGGCCAGCUCAGUGCGGACAGAAACCACACAUAGAGCAAAAGGGCAAAUGCUGACUUGAUCUCGGUGUUCAGUACACACAGGGACAGCAAAAGCUCGGCCUAUCGAUCCUUUUGGUUUAAAGAGUUUUUAACAAGAGGUGUCAGAAAAGUUACCAUAGGGAUAACUGGCUUGUGGCGGCCAAGCGUUCAUAGCGACGUCGCUUUUUGAUCCUUCGAUGUCGGCUCUUCCUAUCAUUGUGAAGCAAAAUUCACCAAGCGUUGGAUUGUUCACCCAUGCAAGGGAACGUGAGCUGGGUUUAGACCGUCGUGAGACAGGUUAGUUUUACCCUACUAAUGACAAAACGUUGUUGCGACAGCAUUCCUGCGUAGUACGAGAGGAACCGCAGGUACGGACCAAUGGCACAAUACUUGUUCGAGCGAACAGUGGUAUGACGCUACGUCCGUUGGAUUAUGCCUGAACGCCUCUAAGGUCGUAUCCGUGCUGGACUGCAAUGAUAAAUAAGGGGCAAUUUGCAUUGUAUGGCUUCUAAACCAUUUAAAGUUUAUAAUUUACUUUAUAAACGACAAUGGAUGUGAUGCCAAUGUAAUUUGUAACAUAGUAAAUUGGGAGGAUCUUCGAUCACCUGAUGCCGCGCUAGUUACAUAUAAAAGCAUUAUUU
rnacentral:rRNA from 1 species